ensembl:misc_RNA
CUUGCAUGGUGUAAACACAACCGCUGUAAAUUCUGGCUGUGGAUCCGAAGUAUGUGCAGGUUCAGGAAGUCCGUGUGCGCGAUUCCUCUUCCUCUUGGGCUGCGCAUCCCCUAGGCACAAGAGACCUUGAGG